GCGACCUCAAACAAGUUCUCUCUCCUGCUGAUGGUGGUGGUCGCUCUGGCUGUUAGCCGAACAGGUGCUGAGCUCUAGAGACAGUGACCACAUGGUAACUGUUCUGAGUCUCCAGAGAUCAGCUGACUACAUAGCGCUUUCUAUUCAGUGAAGCAAGGAUCUUUGAAGACAUCAGUGCUUGCAGUUCAGUUCAGAGAGAACUUAUACAAAAAGAAGCCGAAGACAUCUAGGCAGAUCAGGUCACAGGAAUGGUGUUUGCCAACAGGAAACCCUCCAGCAUUCUGGUCACCACGGUGGACAUGAGUCUGAAAGGCCUGGCUCACCAGAAAGAAAUAUACGCAUAUGAGAAGCCUCUGAGAACUGUCUACUGCCACUACAAUGAGAAUACUCCUUGAGAUAAUGGAGGUAUAGAUCAUGGUGAACAGAUGACUAGGAGGGACUUCAGAGAAGCCAAGGGGCACAGACUCAGUGAAUUAGGUUUCCUAUGGAGACAUUUCUAUGGAGUUAUUCAACUUUCUGCUUUAUAGUACCUAGACAAAUUUUACUGUAUCUCUGAUUUUCAUUGCAAUCCUACAGCUGAUAUUGCUACAAGAUGAUGUAAAGAGAGUGAACAAACUAAUGUUGGCUUAAAUUAUCUUGCAUCCAUCCAUUUCUUCAUUCUUUUAUUAAUAUUUUUUCUUUUUUUUUCUUUUUUGCCUACCUCUAUACCAUGUUCAGGCCUAGUGCUUAUGUA
rnacentral:lncRNA from 1 species